rnacentral:rRNA from 1 species
GAUGAACGCUGGCGGCGUGCCUAAUACAUGCAAGUCGAGCGAACAGACGAGGAGCUUGCUCCUCUGACGUUAGCGGCGGACGGGUGAGUAACACGUGGAUAACCUACCUAUAAGACUGGGAUAACUUCGGGAAACCGGAGCUAAUACCGGAUAAUAUAUUGAACCGCAUGGUUCAAUAGUGAAAGACGGUUUUGCUGUCACUUAUAGAUGGAUCCGCGCCGCAUUAGCUAGUUGGUAAGGUAACGGCUUACCAAGGCAACGAUGCGUAGCCGACCUGAGAGGGUGAUCGGCCACACUGGAACUGAGACACGGUCCAGACUCCUACGGGAGGCAGCCGUAGGGAAUCUUCCGCAAUGGGCGAAAGCCUGACGGAGCAACGCCGCGUGAGUGAUGAAGGUCUUCGGAUCGUAAAACUCUGUUAUUAGGGAAGAACAAAUGUGUAAGUAACUAUGAACGUCUUGACGGUACCUAAUCAGAAAGCCACGGCUAACUACGUG